rnacentral:rRNA from 1 species
GACAGAGGUGCCGAGCGUUAGGCGGAAUCACUGGGCUUAAAGCGUGUGUAGGCGGACUUCUAAGUCCCUUGUGAAAUCCCACGGCUUAACCGUGGAACUGCUUGGUAUACUGGUUGUCUUGGGCCAUCUAGGGGCUACUGGAACAAACGGUGGAGCGGUGAAAUGCGUAGAUAUCGUUUGGAACGCCAAUGGUGAAAACAAGUAGCUGGGGAUGUGCCGACGCUGAGACACGAAAGCCAGGGGAGCGAACGGG